CUACCGUACGCUGCAAGGCCUCUAGGGAAAUGUAGUUCUUCAGCGGGCGGGGCGCGGUGACUUACCUUUCCAGAGUCCCCAUGCCUCUGGACAGCAUCCGCCUGCUCCCUUCCUGGAGAGGCCCAGAGCUCUCAAAGCCUCACUCCUUGCCCUAUACCACCAAGCCAUUUUCCUCUAGUGCAACGUGAACCGCAGUAACAUCUCGAUGCACACUAAGGAGGGAGUCGAAGUCCCUUUGGCCAAACUAAAAUCUGAGCUCCAAUUUCACACGAAAAUCAAUGGCUUUGGCAGCAGAGAGAGCAUCCCUACACUCUGGUUCAAGAGUCCAGCCGGUCCGCUUCGUUCCUGGGAUCCAACUUUACUGGGGGAUGGAAGAGGAGAAGACACAGAGAAGGCCAUGUAAAAAUGGAGGCAGAGAUUAGAGUCAUGUAGCCAUAAACCAAGUGAUUCCUGGAGCCACAAGAAGCUAGAGGAAACAAGGAAGGAUUCUCUCUGGAGGUUUUCCAGAGGGAGGCUGACCCUACCAACACCUUGAUUUUAGACUUCUGAACUUAAGAACUGAGAAAAUAAAUUUCUGUUAUUUUAAGCCACCUCAUAUGUGGUACUUUGUUGUAGCAGCCCUAGAAAAUGAAUAGCACCAGAUACUGGAGACAACCCAGUGUGACUAUCUAACAAGAUCAGAAUGACUGAUACUGAUUAUAAUACUUCAAAUAAAUAAAAAAUCAGGAAUGCAUAAUGAUACUCAGAAGAAUGCUUUUUGGAGUCCUAGGUGAGUGUUUCAAGUAGAAGACAUAGCUUGUACCUUUGAUAAUUUGGGGCAGACUUUUUUUUAAGAAUUUAUUUGGGGCACCUGG